rnacentral:tRNA from 1 species
AGGGAUUUAGCUCAGUGGUUCAGUGUCUGUCUUGCAAUCACAAGGACCUGAGUUCGAUCCCCAGUACCCCCC